rnacentral:rRNA from 1 species
CAGAGCCGCGGUAAUACGGAGGGUGCAAGCGUUAAUCGGAAUUACUGGGCGUAAAGCGCACGCAGGCGGUCUGACAAGUCAGAUGUGAAAUCCCCGGGCUUAACCUGGGAACUGCAUUUGAAACUGUCAGGCUGGAGUCUUGUAGAGGGGGGUGGAAUUCCAGGUGUAGCGGUGAAAUGCGUAGAGAUCUGGAGGAAUACCGGUGGCGAAGGCGGCCCCCUGGACAAAGACUGACGCUCAGGUGCGAAAGCGUGGGGAGCAAACAGGAUUAGAUACCCGUGUAGUCCCUGUCUCUUAUACA